ACGGGUGAGUAACACGUAGGCAACCUGCCCACCAGACGGGGAUAACGACCGGAAACGGUAGCUAAUACCGGAUAGAUCCUGUCGCCGCAUGGCGAGAGGAAGAAAGGCGGCUUGGGCUGUCGUUGGUGGAAGGGCCUGCGGCGCAUUAGCUAGUUGGUAGAGUAACGGCCUACCAAGGCGACGAUGCGUAGCCGACCUGAGAGGGUGAACGGCCACACUGGGACUGAGACACGGCCCAGACUCCUACGGGAGGCAGCAGUAGGGAAUCUUCCGCAAUGGGCGCAAGCCUGACGGAGCAACGCCGCGUGAGUGAAGAAGGUUUUCGGAUCGUAAAGCUCUGUUGCCAGGGAAGAACGACUUUUGGAGGAACUGCCAGAAGAGUGACGGUACCUGAGAAGAAAGCCCCGGCUAACUACGUGCCAGCAGCCGCGGUAAUACGUAGGGGGCAAGCGUUGUCCGGAAUUAUUGGGCGUAAAGCGCGCGCAGGCGGCCGUUUAAGUCCGGUGUAUAAGCCCGGGGCUCAACCCCGGAUCGCACGGGAAACUGGAGGGCUUGAGAACAGCAGAGGAGAGUGGAA
rnacentral:rRNA from 1 species